rnacentral:rRNA from 1 species
AGGUUAAGUGAAUAAGGGCGCACGGAGGAUGCCUUGGCACUAGGAGUCGAAGAAGGACGCGACAAACGGCGAAACGCCUCGGGGAGCUGUAAGUGAGCUUUGAUCCGGGGAUAUCCGAAUGGGGAAACCCGCUAGUGGUUAUACGCUAGCACCAUAUGGUGAAUACAUAGCCAUAUAGGAGACAGACCCAGGGAACUGAAACAUCUAAGUACCUGGAGGAAAAGAAAGAAAAAUCGAUUCCCGUAGUAGCGGCGAGCGAAGUGGGAAGAGCCCAAACCGGCACUAGCCGGGGUUGUAGGACCUUCAUAAUUGACAAAUCAUGAUAGCCGAGUGGUCUGGGAAGGCCAACCGGAGAGGGUGAGAGUCCCGUAGGUGAAAUUGUGAAAUGCAUGGAAGGAAUCCUGAGUACGGCGGGACACGUGGAAUCCCGUCGGAAUCAACGAGGACCAUCUCGUAAGGCUAAAUACUACCUAGUGACCGAUAGUGAACCAGUACCGUGAGGGAAAGGUGAAAAGAACCCCGGAAGGGGAGUGAAAGAGAACCUGAAACCGUGUGCCUACAAAUAGUCAGAGCCCGUUAAUGGGUGAUGGCGUGCCUUUUGUAGAAUGAACCGGCGAGUUACGAUAUCGUGCGAGGUUAAGCAGAAGAUGCGGAGCCGUAGCGAAAGCGAGUCUGAAUAGGGCGAAGAGUACGAUGUUGUAGACCCGAAACCGUGUGAGCUAGCCAUGAGCAGGCUGAAGGUCAGGUAACACUGACUGGAGGGCCGAACCAGGGCACGUUGAAAAGUGCUUGGAUGACUUGUGGCUAGGGGUGAAAUUCCAAUCGAACACGGAUAUAGCUGGUUCUCUCCGAAAUAGCUUUAGGGCUAGCCUCGAUGGCAAGUCUACUGGAGGUAGAGCACUGAAUGGGUGAUGGCCCCACCUCGGGGUACUGAUCUCAAUCAAACUCCGAAUGCCAGAUAGAUAUCAUCGGGAGUCAGACUGUGGGUGAUAAGGUCCAUGGUCAAAAGGGAAAGAGCCCAGACCGCCAGCUAAGGCCCCCAAGUGUCCGUUAAGUGGAAAAGGAUGUGGAGAUGCACAGACAACUAGGAGGUUGGCUUAGAAGCAGCCAUCCUUUAAAGAGUGCGUAAUAGCUCACUAGUCGAGUGACUCUGCGCCGAAAAUGUACCGGGGCUAAACG